GGGAAACUGUUGUUAUUUUUGCUCGGUUCGGGAUACCCACGCAGCCAGGAAAACAACACGGCGCAGUCCUGUUCCCCCCCCCCACCGCAGCUCGGCUGUCACUUGGCUCCUUCCCCCACGUCGCGAGAGGCACACACACACACCCCCCUCCAUGUCGCGACAGCGGCCCGCGCACCUGCCGCGCACCCCCCCCCCCCCUUCCCCUCACUUGCCGUCUCCUACCAGGGGUGCCCGGUGUGUGGAGAAGAUGGAGGGGGGGCGGCACGCCCGCCUCUCCCCCUCCCCGGGGCCGGGGGGGUGGAAAGGAGAAGGGCGCCGGCAGCCCCUGCGAAGCGGCCGGCCGGAGGGCUCGUCGCUGGCAGCCAGGAGGUUGUAGUGCAGAGAUGCUGGAAGGAGCCGUUUCUAGGGAUGUACGCUUGCCACUGCAACCAUACAAGCCGCCUGUACAAACAGCCACCCCUUGCAGAAGAGAAAAAGAAAGAUGAAGGCAUUUUUCGUCCUUUUGAGAAGAACUCGGUCCCGCUGGUCCGUCCCCCCCCGCGCCUGCCUGCGGCCGGGGGUGCGGGCAGGCCGGGCAGGCAGCGCCGCGUUCCUCAGGCUGCUGUUCUGCCUGCGGUGCUGAAGUGGGUUGCUUUUGGUUUUUGGUUUGGUUUUUUUUCCCAGCUUUCCUCCUGCCCCCAGGAUUUGGGAUGAGGGAGAUAAAGCUCACCUUCUCCACGGUCGCACCGCUGCACCUCUGCCAGGCUGGCGAUGCGCAAGGGGGUUCUCGGGGUUUUCUUCGUGGAAGGCAGCAGCACGGUUCCCGCGGGAGCUCCCCGAAUUCUGCGCCCGAACCAGUGGCAUCACGUUGGUAUUGGUGGUCCAGUGCAAGGUUCGAGGGGCUAGCUUGUGGCGGGGGGGUGGAUUUGCUGUUAAAAACUGAAGGAGGAAAAGGGUGCCGUGUUCGUUCCUGCCUUAUGGCUUCCACUGGAAAUCACAGCCCCUCGGCGGAUUAAAGCAUGACCCACAGAUGCAAUAAAUUUUAAGUUUGGAAUUUAAUUUCUUCAGUGUCCCAACGAGUUUUCUUGAAGGGAUUCAUAUAAAUGACCUUUUUACCGUCUGCGGGGUUGACGCCGAUGCCUGUCACAUGUGCUGUCAGCCACGGGAGGGGACCGGAGCCGCCAGAUCAUCCUUAAAGGAGAAAGAGGCUGGAGCUGGGAUAUAAAGUAGUCUUCUAGGAGUACUGCCAGAACCGAUCUGUUUUACUCUGCUGCUGCUGCUGCUGUUGCUGUUCUGCUGUGUCAUGGGAAGAGAGUUACCUAGCCACACCAACCCUCGGAAACGGCACCUCAGGCAGAGCCGCUUGCUGCAAACCCGAGCUGUGUUUUACAAAGCUGAAGGGAAAAAGACUUUGUGACAUUCUUGAAAACAGAGAAGAGGUUGAUUUGCCACCCAGGAUGGCAUUCAAAGAGCCGUUGCAAGGAGGUAAAAAUCACCACCAUGCCGGGAUUUAUAUCAAUACGAGAGUAGAAUAUCGCUGCUACCCACCUACUCCGCACCUGCAGGCGCCUGGGACACCACUUCGCUGCCGUGGCAGGGAUCCAGCAUGCCGGCCGGGGAUCCAGCAUGCCGGCCAGCAGCUGCAGAAGGGAGUAAGCCUCCACAGCACACUUCAUAUUUCUCUUCAACAUCCCCUUUCCUCACUCGUCAGCACGAGGCAUCAACUGGUUUGUUGGUGCAAGGGAGAUUGCAGCCUCCUUCAGCUGUCACAUCCUGAACCCCUGCCAGAUUUGUGUUGCAAGAACUGAUGCCAGUGUUUUUAACCCAGAGUGUAUUUGGCCCUUAGUGUUCUCCAUGACAUAGAAUAAACAUUAGGGAGGAGAUUCAGGCUUCAAUGAGAAAUGCUUUCCCAUGAUACGUUUUCAUUUUGGCAUGCACACUGUUUAUGAUGAAAGGAUCCUAAAAUAAUUGUAUUAGAUGAACCGUCUGUUCUUCUUGCUUUGAGGCCAGUACGGCAUGACAUUUCAGAGAUAAAAUGUUGUGGAACAGCCUCUGACUUAUAGCCCAAUGGAACUUUUCCGAAGCCAUUCUUCUUUCUUCUUUUAUUUGCUUGCGGUUUAUAACCUGAAAACGUCAAGCUUGCAUCACAGCGUUGCCAAAAGAUCGUCCUGUGCAUUAGCUAAACCUUAAAUUAUCAGCAAAUUUAAUUUUUCUUCAGAAGGCUAAUUCACAAGCAGUCAGCUCCCUAGUGGAAAAAACUCCUCCCUCCAAUUCAAAGAAAUUCCAGGAUUCACAAGAAAUACUACAUUUCCAAGAGGACACUCUGUCUGUCCUUAGGAGAACUUAUUUCUGUGUGCAAGUUCAAGUGAGUCUACGGGACCUUAAAUCAAAGGAGACCAAUGCCAGAUCCCUCGCGAUGUCCUUCAGGCUUGCAGCGUGAGCUCCGGGAUGCUGCUCCAGCACGACCGGAGGAUGGGGAAUAGCACCCGCGUUUCACCUGGCGUGCUGAAGUUCUCAGGCGGUCGGACGUGGGACCCCAGAGGACACGCAGGAUGCCAGAGCUGGUGAACCUGUUGGGCGUCUUCAGCUGAAUUUAAUAGAGAGAUGGAGAACUCAGAAGCGCAAAAUUUCUGGAAGUUUAAUGAAAGCAAGCAGGCAAAGGGGAGCAGCAAGGAAGACAGAGAUUGCAGACUGACUGCAACUCCCCUGGGAAUCCAGAUAGAAAUGAAGUCUUGUAAGACCUUCACCUGCAAGCAAGGUGAGCCUGAGCCUCCACCCUACAAGGCACCAGAGAAUCCACACACAAAAUGCAUCCUUAUCGGGGACCUUAUUUGUUGCUAUCAGAACUACCAGGUUUUUUUUAUUUAGAAGUUGUUAGUUUAAAGGAAUAGGUACCUUGUGGUGCAGCAUCAGAAGGAAAACACAGCGAGAGACGCCAUUACCAGGUGGAGCUGAGCAGAAAGCACUGCCUCCCGUUGUGACGCUGUGCGGUACUGAGCAACGGGGAAAGAAAAUAUUAAACAGAAACAGGCUGUGAUAUUGGCUCAUGGCCUGAGCACAGGCCUGGGAGUUUGGAAAUCCCAGGAUCAAAUCAUGUCCCUGAUAACAAUUCCUUUUAUUGCCUACAAGCACUUGGGUUUUUGGCUACCUUAACUAAAGAAGUGAGGAUAAUAGAGCCUGUCUCACAGGGUCGUUCCUGUCCAGCAAUAUAUAAUCACUUGAUGUGCUCAGAGGAUUAAAUGUACCCCACAGUGAAAUAAAAGGCACCAGCGAUCAUGCCUGUAGGCAUUCAAAGCUUCUCCCUACCUUUGACAGCUGCCAUGCUACGGCAGAGAUUGUUCUGCUCAGCCCCAGCCUCAGAAUCCAAAUUUAGAACAUGUCCUAUGACAGGAAUCAUUUACAUGACAAAAUCUGCCUUUCUCCAGAUUCCUCUAAUUAAGUCCUGCCUCCCUCGCAGGCGAAGCAGUUAUCAUGCUGGUGGAGCACUGCAGGAAACCCGCCGUGGGAAAAGCAGCGUGUCCAUGUGCGGGAUGCUCUCCUGAGCCCAUCAGGAUGUAUUUGGAUGCUGGACAUCUCAGGGUCAGCCCAGACAGCCAGGAAGGGGGUGAGGGCUCCUUGUCCUGCGCUGGCUGCAAUCCCACCAUCGAGCUGCAGGUGUGACUGGAGCUCAGGAACCAGACGGGAAGACUGCCCUUGGGACAACUUUUAGGGCAGAUGUGGAUGUUGUUGUAAAGCUGCAUGGUUGUGGGUGCCUGAACGAGAAUGGAUGUUGGCGAAUUUUUCAGCAUUGCCUGGGUCUCCACUGAGUAUCUAGGGUGCAAAGACCCACCAUGCUCAACAGCAGUUGCUGUCCUUCAAUGGAUGUGGUGAGCUGCUAACAUGCCUGGCAGCUCGGGAAUCAAAGCUACGUGGUCACACAAAUGAAUAUGAAUGUGUCCCUUGCUGAUGAUUUUAGGAAAUUCCACGUAUCCUUCAACUUAUUCUAGAAAAAAAACCUCCUUACGUAUUCAUCCUGGGGUCACUGAGUUACUUGCAGCAGAGUAUGGUUUCAAAGACUUCCUUCUUGAAUAGCUGCCGUCUCUCCUGCUGGGAAGGUCUGUAUGUAUAACUGGCAGAGGAGCUUCUUCCUCCCGUGGGAGGGAUGUGUGUGGAGCCUUUGUGGUACUCCCCACCUCUGCAGCUCCUGGGAGGAUCAGACCUCACUUCAGAUCUUUGACGCUGCAGAGAUCCCUCUGCUGAGGCACCCAGUGCUCUCCCAAAGCUGACUUGCUGGCUGCUCCGUGUCUACAUGGCUUGGACGGCAUGCUCUGCAUGCUGACACUGUUCGGUUACGUGACAGGGAUCAAAGGGUUCGAUGUGCUAUCGAGACUUGGAGCAGAGGGAGAGGGUGGCCACGGUCAUCAGUAAAACACAAAAGGAAGGAAGGGUGGCACUGGGAUCUCCAAGUGCUACAGCUCAUCUAGCUCCAAAAAGCCUCAGUGACAUGGGUCAGUAUUUGUUAUCCGCUGGUGGCACAUCGCCAUCCCUGCUAGGUCUGGGCGUGAUUCGAUAUUGCCCCUGUUUCUCCAGACAGGGGUACAUAAGCAGCUGGAGCAAGAAUGGCAAUGAAGCUCCAGGAACCACAAGACCGUUUGCCAGUGAUGCAGUUGGAGAUGCUCUUCCUGGGGAGCAGCUCUUCCUCCAGCCUCCACGUGCCAGGACAGAUUGUCUUUCAGAUGAGUCGCAAACUCCAUGCCCUCAAACCCAGCACCGGCUCCAGGAGUGACAUUCCCAUGCUCCUCAUGAGGACAGUGUGUUCCUCCUCGUCAUCCAUCCAGGUGGUGACCUGAGUCCUUUGCCCUCCUCCUCCCCCAUCCCUCCAUCAGCUUCGUGCUGAGAGCUGUGCACAGUGUUGCAGUGGGGAGAGGACACAUGGGACAUGAUGGCCAGCAGCAACAUCUGGGGCACGUUGGGUGGAGACAGGGACUCCAGCGUGCUUAUCCCCUUGAUAAAUGAGAUGCUGGACCCUUGGAGGCUCAAGCCACUCUACCCACUGGUGCGUGAGGGCUCACAGUGUAUUUAUCUAUUGGGAAAUGCCCUUGAACCUCCUUCCCAGGAACCUGCUAACCCCCCAGCAGAACCUUUUUAUGGUGCAAGCAGGUCUCCUCUGCCCAUCAGCCACAGCGUAGCACUUCGGGCAGCUGCCUGCCCUUCCAUCAACACAAAGCUCCUGCCAAAGGCAACCUGUUAUCCCAAAUAGGAGCACAUCGGUUUUACGCUCUCAGACUGUGCAGGCAAAGGAGUCAUUUCACUCGGCGAUUUCUGCCGGUUUCCACCAAAGUGAUCACAAUUCAGGGUCCGUUUCUGUAUUGGAUGCCAACCACACAACGCUCUUAAUCUUGGUAAUUGUAGUUUAUUAAGGUUCUUGGAAACUGGCAAAAUGGCUUUCAGAGGAAUAAAAAAAAAAAUCCCAAACUCCAAAUCAGUGAGGAAAUUCCCUCAGUGGAUCAUGGCUGAAAACAAACAUGUUUUUGUGCUUCCAGAAAAUCAGCAAGACUAACAGUGCCAUUGUUUGUGUAAGGGGGAUUUCCACAUUUCAGGGAACAGCUUGGAAGCCGUUGCAGCGGCUGCCCUCAGGAGAGCAGGAGAUGUGAACCAGCAUCGGGAAAAAUCACAGCAGGUUAAAAAUCAUGGGAUUUUAUAAAAUUAUCAUACAGAUUUGGGUUACGUUUUGUUUUGUUUUCCUUUCUGUGCCUGCUGUUGGAACCUUUAGGGAGCAUAUUUUCCUCCUUUCCUCAUAGCGUGAGGACCACAAGUAUACCAGUCUAUUUUUGCCCCUAAUAAAAGCUCCUUGUCACAGAGCUACGUGACUCCGGGCACCCUUGCGUCAAAGGCGGCAUGAAAUAUCACAAGAUUUAUAAUAAAAUUACACGAGUCGGCAACGCUGAAACCUACCAUGAGAAAUGAGUAUCUCACUCAGAUUAAAAAAACAAGCCUGCUUUUUAAAAGCUGUGCUGGGCUGUGCAUUAGGACAACGCAAUUUUGUCCUGCUGUGGACUGGAAGCAAAGGGGUUCAUCUGCAAAGUGUCUGCUCUCACCAUCCUUCCCACAGGAGCAAGGAAGGGGUCCAUGCCAGGGCAGCCCAGUUGGCUUCAGACCAGGUCCUCUUCUCCAUCCAGCUGUUGGGUUGGAGGAUGGGGCCGAUCUGCCAGCGGUGUGGGUGGGUGCUGCCUCACCACAGCUGGCUGCUUUGUGGGAGCUGAUUUCACCCAAAACGUGAUCCCACCAUGGAGAUCUUCACGGUGGGGCAGUGAUCUCCGGUGAAGAGGCGCUGGUGUCUUCUGCAUCUCAAGAGAGCAUCCAUCUCAUGCCUGGGGCUAAAGAAGGUCGAGCAGCCCAGCAAGACCUGCUGAUCCCUCUGGUCUCUUGUCAGGACUUGUGGGAUGAAUUUUUGCACUCCCAGUGUCCCCAUGCUGCCUCCACACUUGCUACCUAGGAUCGCAGUCCCUUUCCAGAUGAAGGACCCCAUGGAGACCACCUGUACGCUGUAUCACCCUGGAAGUGCCAGCAGAGAGCACCAGGCUGAUCCCAUUAAUUCUGAAAGGUCUAAAAGCAAGGAUCCUCUACAUGCUGCUGUUGGUCUGGGAGGCAGGGACCACAUCAAAUCCAGGCUUGGUCAAGGCAAACUCAAAGCUUUCUCCUAUUGCUGGCCAAUUCUUUAUUCCUUUUAAAUACCACAAGACCAAAAACCAUCCAAAGAGAGACUCAGCAUUUCUUCAGGUCCUCAGGAGCAGAGGGAACUCAGGAGAGACUUGCUG